rnacentral:rRNA from 1 species
UUUCCCUCAGGAUAGCUGGCACUCGCUUGAGCGAGUCUCAUCUGGUAAAGCGAAUGAUUAGAGGCCUUGGGGCCGAAACGACCUCAACCUAUUCUCAAACUUUAAAUGGGUGAGAUCUCUGGCUUGCUUGAACGUUUGAAGCCACGAGAUUAUUGCAAUGGAUCAGAGUGCCAAGUGGGCCAAUUUUGGUAAGCAGAACUGGCGCUGUGGGA